UGUGUGUGUGUGUGUGUGUGUGUGUGUGUGUGUGUGUGCACUGGUUUCCAUGUUUUAUGGGGACAAAAAUCUGUAUACACAGUCACGUCAUGGGGACCAGUUGCGGUAUGGGGACCAAAAAGCUGGUCCCCAUGAGUCAAACUGUAAAAUUCGAUAAAGCAGGUGGUCUAUAUGUGCCUGUGAAAUUUUUAGCCUUGGCCCAAAAAGCAUGAUUUUUGAUCAACGUAUGUGUGUAGACAAUGCUCAGUAGCCCCCCCUACAUAGUUUUCACUGCUAUGGCACUCACUGCGACUGCACUGCUCUACACACACAUUUACAUAAUCCCACCCACUUCCUGGUCCCCACAUGUAAGGAUUUUUACAUCAAUGGAUCAGAACAGGCAGAAAGUCAUCUUUAAUUAGAAUCAUCAGAAGACACUAGAAAGAGCUAGUCAACAUGCCAGCAGAAGAAGAUGAAGUAAAUGUAACACAAAAAAUGCUAAUUUGUUUGCAUGAACAAAUAAGUUUUCUAUUAUGUAUUAUCUAGUUAUAUAUUUCAUUGCAUUCACUGCUUCACACACAUAUUUGCAUAAUCCCGCCCACUCCCUUGUCCCCAAUAUGUGGUGAUUUUUACAACGAUGGAGUCAAACAGGUAGAAAGCAAUCUUCAAUUAGACUCAUCAGAAGACGCUAGCAAGAGCUAGUAAACAUGCCAGCCAAAGAAGCAAAAAUAAAACCUAAGUUUGAAAUGCCAAAAAGGGUCAGCCCCCUUCAGGAUGCCAUUUGUCAUGUUACCUCAAAGACUGACAAGACAGACAAAUUGUGCAUCAAGUACAUUGAUGCAGUUAAAGGACGUGGUGUUUUUGCAAAAGCUGCAAUCAGCAGAGGUCAAUUUGUUGCAGAAUAUAGGGGUGAUCUGAUAAAUGAUUCAGAAUAUCAGUGCAGAAGAAGAGUUUACCACCCAUCAUGUGCUGCAUUUAUGUUUGCAUUUAAGUGGAGAGGAAAAACAUGGUGCAUUGAUGCUUCAAGAGAUGAUGAAUCAUUUGGGAGGUUGGUAAAUGAUGAACACAGACGGCCAAACUGUAAAAUUAAAAGGAUUGAUGUGGAAGGAAAGCCAUACCUCUGUUUGUUUGCUGUGGAAGACAUUCAAGAAGGAGAAGAAAUAAAUUAUGAUUAUGGAGUUGAUGACUGUCCAUGGAGAACACAAAUGAACGGCAUUAAGGAGAGUGAUUUGGGAAUAGAGACCUCUUAUUCCUCCAUGAUUAUGGAUCAGAUGGAGAAUGUUGCAUGUCAAAACAACUCUCAACAGAUGGCCGCCUUUGAGGACUGUGAUUUGGCUUUAGAGACCUCUCAUCCCUCCAUGACCGUUGAUCAGUUAGAGAUUGCUGCUGUUCCAAACAAUACACAACAGAUGACCACCAUUAAUGACAGUGCCUCGGCUUCAGAGACCUCUCAUCCUUCCAUGAGUAUGGAUCAGACUGAGAUCUCUACUUGUCCAAACAACACUUAACAGAUGAGCACCAUUAAUGACAGUGCCUUGGCUUCAGAGACCUCUACUCCUUCCAUGGAUAUGGAUCAGACGGAGAUCUCUACUUGUCCAAACAACACUCAACAGAUGACCACCAUUAAUGACAGUGCGUCGGCUUCAGAGACGUCUCAUCCUUCCAUGAGUAUGGAUCAGACUGAGAUCUCUACUUGUCCAAACUACACUGAACAGAUGACCACCAUUAAUGACAGUGCGUCGGCUUCAGAGAUGUCUCAUCCUUCCAUGAGUAUGGAUCAGACUGAGAUCUCUACUUGUCCAAACAACACUGAACAGAUGACCACCAUUAAUGACAGUGCCUUGGCUUCAGAGACCUCUACUCCUUCCAUGGAUAUGGAUCAGACGGAGAUCUCUACUUGUCCAAACAACACUCAACAGGUACUCUCACCUCCAUCACAUUUGCGGUUAUUUUUUUCCAUCUUAAUAACUUCCUUUGUGAUGAUGGGCACUAAAUUCCAUGAUAGAAUCAUGUGGAUAGGUAAAGGAGCACGCUUCAUUAAUUGU